rnacentral:rRNA from 1 species
GGGUUCGAAUGCACGAGUCUGACGGAGCACGCCGCGUGAGUGAUGAAGGUUUUCGGAUCGUAAAACUCUGUUGUUAGGGAAGAACAAGUACUAUAGUAACUGAUGGUACCUUGACGGUACCUAACCAGAAAGCCACGGCUAACUACGUGCCAGCAGCCGCGGUAAUACGUAGGUGGCAAGCGUUGUCCGGAAUUAUUGGGCGUAAAGCGCUCGCAGGCGGUUCUUUAAGUCUGAUGUGAAAUCUUACGGCUCAACCGUAAACGUGCAUUGGAAACUGGGGAACUUGAGUGCAGAAGAGGAGAGUGGAAUUCCACGUGUAGCGGUGAAAUGCGUAGAGAUGUGGAGGAACACCAGUGGCGAAGGCGACUCUCUGGUCUGUAACUGACGCUGAGGAGCGAAAGCGUGGGGAGCGAACAGGAUUAGAUACCCUGGUAGUCCACGCCGUAAACGAUGAGUGCUAGGUGUUAGGGGGUUUCCGCCCCUUAGUGCUGAAGUUAACGCAUUAAGCACUCCGCCUGGGGAGUACGGCCGCAAGGCUGAAACUCAAAAGAAUUGACGGGGGCCCGCACAAGCGGUGGAGCAUGUGGUUUAAUUCGAAGCAACGCGAAGAACCUUACCAGGUCUUGACAUCCUCUGAACACUCUAGAGAUAGAGUUUUCCCUUCGGGGACAGAGUGACAGGUGGUGCAUGGUUGUCGUCAGCUCGUGUCGUGAGAUGUUGGGUUAAGUCCCGCAACGAGCGCAACCCUUGAUCUUAGUUGCCAGCAUUAAGUUGGGCACUCUAAGGUGACUGCCGGUGACAAACCGGAGGAAGGUGGGGAUGACGUCAAAUCAUCAUGCCCCUUAUGACCUGGGCUACACACGUGCUACAAUGGAUGGAACAAAGGGAAGCGAACCCGCGAGGUCAAGCAAAUCCCACAAAACCAUUCUCAGUUCGGAUUGUAGGCUGCAACUCGCCUACAUGAAGCCGGAAUCGCUAGUAAUCGCGGAUCAGCAUGCCGCGGUGAAUACGUUCCCGGGCCUUGUACACACCGCCCGUCACACCACGAGAGUUGGUAACACCCGAAGUCGGUGAGGUAACCGUAAGGAGCCAGCCGCCGAAGGUGGACUAAGUU